rnacentral:rRNA from 1 species
AACGAACGCUGGCGGCAUGCCUAACACAUGCAAGUCGAACGAACCCUUCGGGGUUAGUGGUGCACGGGUGCGUAACGCGUGGGAAUCUGCCCUUUGCUUCGGAAUAACAGUUAGAAAUGACUGCUAAUACCGGAUGAUGUCUUCGGACCAAAGAUUUAUCGGCAAGGGAUGAGCCCGCGUAGGAUUAGGUAGUUGGUGGGGUAAAGGCCUACCAAGCCGACGAUCCUUAGCUGGUCUGAGAGGAUGAUCAGCCACACUGGGACUGAGACACGGCCCAGACUCCCACGGGAGGCAGCAGUGGGGAAUAUUGGACAAUGGGCGCAAGCCUGAUCCAGCAUGCCGCGUGAGUGAUGAAGGCCUUCGGGUCGUAAAGCUCUUUUACCAGGGAUGAUAAUGACAGUACCUGGAGAAUAAGCUCCGGCUAACUCCGUGCCAGCCGCCGCAGUAAUAC